ensembl:lncRNA
GAUAAAAAUUAUUUAGGGUGACGACACGCCUAUCUGUCUGCCAUUAUUUUGCUUUGUCUGUUUAUAACAUGCAUCUCUAUUCACAUUAAUCCACAGGCAUUAGGUUAAUCAUAGCCUUUGUGUGAUUGCCCACAAAAGGUAAUGGAAAGGUAAUAGAAAAUAAAAUCUCAGCGUGAGUGUCAAGUGUCAGUAUGGUUGUGUUUAAAGAAGGAAAAUGAGGCAAAACAUGAAGGGCAGUGUCAGAAAGUUCAUGCACAGAUUGAUAAUCUUAAAAUGAUUGAGUGGUUCAGUGUGUUUACGUGUGUAUCUUGUGCGUGUAAGUGACGAAGGAAAAGAGAAAAGAAAAGUGGUAGUUGAGAUUACGCCACACUCCCUCAGGCUCUUGUUACUCAUGCACUACUGGCAGAUCUCUGGUUCCCACGCCUCCUCACAGAGGUGAGUGAAACUACACCCACAACUUCACCUGUACGUGCCUGCCUCAGCACAACCCAUCAGCUUCAGCCAAACUAUGAUCUGUUUUUUUUUUCCCUAGAAACGAAAAGAAGAGAGAGGAUGACAAAUUGGCAUGAUUACAGCAAUAAUAUCAGCCAAAAGAUCACAAUGGCAGAACUCACUUACAAAAGUACUGUGUUUGAUUUGCCAGAGCUCUGAAGUGGGAAAGCAAUGGGGCGAUCCUGGCAUUCCAGGGCUCUGUCGCGUCGUCUCCUGGUCUCUAAUUUGGGAGCAGCUGUCGGGCUCUGCAAGACAUCAGCCAUCCAAGCCCAGCUAAAUUCCCUACAGAAAAGCCCUAACUCCCCAGCAUGCUUUCCAAUCUCAGCCUGUAUCAAUUCAGCUCCUUCCUUAUUGCCAUUGGACAAACAGAGGAAGAAGUAGUAAAUCCCAUAUCCCAACAAUAAGAUCAACCCUGGGGCUCAGGCAGGAAAAGAAGCUGUACCAGUGGGACUCAGGGCCCAAAGGGAUGUGGUGGUGGGGAACUGCUAAUCAAAGAUAAGGGGUCAUCUGUAUCCUUUCACAUAUUUGGUACUUUUUCCCCCAUUGUGUAGCUUUGUGUAUUUGCAGGUUCAGUAGUUGUUAGACAUUAAAGGUCUUGUUUUCUGAGUUGUUAAUGCAGUACAUGCUGAUUGUGAUCUGUGACUGUUAUUAAAAGGUUUUUUUUUUUUUUUCAUUAAAUGUAAAUUUUCACUGUGAUGUUGUUAAUAGAGUUCUAAGUGCAACCAUUGUGUAGUUUUUAUUAUUUUAUUAUAAUAAACAUUCAUCUAUUUUCA